rnacentral:rRNA from 1 species
UCCUGAAGGAACGUUGAAGACGACGACGUUGAUAGGUCGGGUGUGUAAGCGUAGCGAUACGUUGAGCUAACCGAUACUAAUGAACCGUGAGGCUUAACCUU